CAGGAUGCACUUAUUUCCAGGGAUUUCAGAACAGUGUAACAGAUAUUGCGUCAUCGGUGUGCUCUUUUUUUUGUUAGAGGGCGUUUUUCCAAGACCUCCGGAAACACGCCCACUUUACGCCAUGGUAACAAAACCCCGGGAUUUUAGUGAUUGCCGCGUCUUCUCAGUGGUUCCUAUAUGAUGAUGAGGCUCCAAAAGUGACCUACUAUCAGCUGUGCCAUGAUGAAAACGAGGACUUUGCUGGAAUUGAAUGUAGGUGUUUGAGGCUGCUCCCCCAUGACCAUGGCCCGUCAGUGCUGGUCACCAUUGAGAUGUGCGAUGCACUUAAUAGCUUGUCUGAGAACCAGUCACUUAUCCGCAUGCCUCCGUGGAGCAACUUCUGGCUGUUGGCCGCCAUGACCCUCUUCAUGUCCCUGCACUUCAUGAUCAUGUAUGUGGACCCCCUGCCCAUAAAUCUGUUCCUCCAACAUGGCUGCAUCUUCAACCCUGCUUUCUUUUCCACUUACCUACACUAAAGUUAUGCUGUAGUACAGAAGGUCAUUGUCAGUGAUGAGGUCUUCAAGCUGACCCACUUGAAUGUGGAGCAGUGGAUGGUAGUGCUGAAACUGUCCUUCCCCGUCAUCCUCAUUGAUGAGGUGAAGUUUGUUGCCCGUAACUACCUGGAUGGUAAGACCAACAACAUGGACCUAAUAAUAAAAUAAUUUUUGAAAUGCCAUAUAUGAUAAUAUUAUAAUCAAAUGAUAAACAAGUGUCCUAUAUUAAUAUUUACCUCUCCAAUUAAUAUAUACAAUAUACAAUACAAUACAAGUUUAUUUGUAUAGUGCUUUUUACAAUAGACAUUGUCUCAAAGCAGCUUU